rnacentral:rRNA from 1 species
CCUACGGGGGGCAGCAGUCGGGAAUAUUGCGCAAUGGAGGAAACUCUGACGCAGUGACGCCGCGUAUGGGAAGAAGGUUUUCGGAUUGUAAACCAUUGUCGUUAGGGAAGAAGAAGUGACAGUACCUAAGGAGGAAGCUCCGGCUAACUAUGUGCCAGCAGCCGCGGUAAUACAUAGGGAGCGAGCGUUAUCCGGAUUUAUUGGGUGUAAAGGGUGCGUAGACGGGAAUACAAGUUGGUUGUGAAAGCCCUCGGCUUAACUGAGGAACUGCAACCAAAACUAUAUUUCUUGAGUAUCGGAGAGGA